AUUGAACGCUGGCGGCAUGCCUAACACAUGCAAGUCGAACGGGGCAGCAAUGCCUAGUGGCGGACGGGUGAGGACUACGUAGGAAUCUGCCCUUAAGUGGGGGAUAACCAGGGGAAACCCUGACUAAUACCGCAUGAUCUUUUCGGAGCACAGAGGGGGACCGCAAGGCCUCUCGCCUCUGGAUGAGCCUACGUCUGAUCAGCUAGGUGGUAGGGUAAAGGCCUACCAAGGCGACGAUCAGUAACUGGUCUGAGAGGAUGAUCAGUCACACCGGAACUGAGACACGGUCCGGACUCCUACGGGAGGCAGCAGUGGGGAAUAUUGGACAAUGGGCGCAAGCCUGAUCCAGCAAUGCCGCGUGUGUGAAGAAGGCCUUCGGGUUGUAAAGCACUUUAGCCUGGAAAGAAAAAACUUUGGUUAACACCCAAAGUCUUGACGGUACCAGGAGAAUAAGCACCGGCUAACUCUGUGCCAGCCGCCGCGGUAACAC
rnacentral:rRNA from 1 species